rnacentral:rRNA from 1 species
CGCCUGUUUAUCAAAAACAUCUCUUCUUGUGUGUAAUAUGAGGUAUAAUCUGCCCACUGAUAUUUAUUGAAGGGCCGCGGUAUUUUGACCGUGCAAAGGUAGCAUAAUCAUUAGUUUUUUAAUUGAGGACUGGAAUGAAUGAUUGGACGAGAAGACCCCUGUUUCUAUUAAUUAUUUAUUGAAUUUAAAUUUCAAGUUAAAAUGCUUGAAUUUUUUAGUGGGACGAGAAGACCCUAUAGAGUUUAAUUGUUGAUAUCUUAUUUGGUUGGUUUUUGGUUUAAUUUAUUAAUAAUUUGGUUGGGGUGAUUGGAAGAUAUAAGGAACUCUUUUGCUUGAUUCUUAUUUAUUUAUUAAUUUGUGAUCCAUUUUUAGUGAUUGUUAGAAAAAAUUACC